rnacentral:lncRNA from 1 species
UUGAACCGAAAAGGAUCUAGUUUAUUCAGAAUCUGUUGAGAAAAGAAAGAUUGCAAACUGAAAUUCCUUCCACCCUGUAAAUUGUCGAUCUAAAUUUUCAUCAAUCUUUUCUUAAGAUCUUGGAUCUUUUGCCCAAGACCUUCUUCUACACCCAUCUUUCUACUUGGAGCAGAUGAUUCUGCCCCCCAAGAUUGAUCAGUG